rnacentral:rRNA from 1 species
CUUGUUGGCGGGGUAAAGGCCCACCAAGGCGACGAUCCGUAGCUGGUCUGAGAGGACGAUCAGCCACACUGGGACUGAGACACAGCCCAGACUCCUACGGGAGGCAGCAGUGGGGAAUCUUGCGCAAUGGGCGAAAGCCUGACGCAGCGACGCCGCGUGAGGGAAGAAGGCCUUCGGGUUGUAAACCUCUUUCAGGAGGGACGAAGCCACUCGGGUUAAUAGCCCAGAGGGUGACGGUACCUCCAGAAGAAGCCCCGGCUAACUACGUGCCAGCAGCCGCGGUAAUACGUAGGGGGCAAGCGUUGUCCGGAUUUAUUGGGCGUAAAGAGCGUGUAGGCGGCUUUACAGGUCCGCUGUGAAAACUCGAGGCUCAACCUCGAGCUGUCGGUGGAAACCGUAAGGCUAGAGUCCGGAAGAGGAGAGUGGAAUUCCCGGUGUAGCGGUGAAAUGCGCAGAUAUCGGGAAGAACACCCGUGGCGAAGGCGGCUCUCUGGGACGGUACUGACGCUGAGACGCGAAAGCGUGGGGAGCGAACAGGAUUAGAUACCCUGGUAGUCCACGCCGUAAACGAUGGGUGCUAGGUGUGGGAGGUGUCGACUCCUCCCGUGCCGAAGCUAACGCAUUAAGCACCCCGCCUGGGGAGUACGGCCGCAAGGCUAAAACUCAAAGGAAUUGACG